CGCGUAGGCGGUUCCGAAAGUGGCGCGUGAAAUCCCUCGGCUCAACCGAGGAAGUGCGUGCCAAACUUCGGUUCUAGAGGACGGUAGGGGGGACUGGAACUCUCGGUGGAGCGGUGAAAUGCGUAGAUAUCGAGAGGAACACCGGCGGCGAAGGCGAGUCCCUGGUCCGUUUCUGACGCUGAGGCGCGAAAGCGUGGGUAGCAAACA
rnacentral:rRNA from 1 species